rnacentral:lncRNA from 1 species
AUUUCAGGACUGUUGUAGUGAUUCUGUGGCUUGAAUUUGGACAAAAUCUUGAAACUGAGAUUGAUGUCUCUUGUUUUUUUGGGUUGAAGCCUUUUUUGGAUUGACCUAUGGAGCAGGAGUGUUUUCUUUAUGAUCAGGAGGUACAGUUUGUGUAGAAGGGACAAUUCGUCUCCAGAUGAGGUCUCCUCAGGAUAAAGAGGCUCUCUUCUUAACCCACAUCUACACCAUUUUAGACAGCAGAGGGCGCCCUACUGACAGCAUCUGAGGGACCGCCGCGAGGAAGGACCAGGCGAUCUGAGGCUGUGUGUGUGUCUACUAUUAAUUUACCUCUUCACAUACCUUCAGUGAACUCGAAGUGGAAUCCUGCCCGCUGGAUGGGGAAACAGAGCCAGAGAGCAUGCCGGGAAGUGGGUAGCGUAUGGCAGUGUUAGAGCCCACGUCUUCUGAAGUCCACUCUUCUUCCCAGCACACCGUGAAACUUUGGCACAUUUCCCUUUGAAGUUCCACUGCAUUUAUUCCAGAAGAAAGGAGUUUAUUCACCCAGACAAAAGUAUACACUGAAAUGUCUAAGGUGUCCUCGCAAGUGGCAAAAAUUGAGGCUGGACAUUUCCCCUGGCCCAGUGGACAGCUACUGUGCUGGCCAGGUUCUGCAACCUUCCUUGCUAGGAGAAAGAAUUCUCUUCUUGCAAAGCUGUCACAUUGCAAACCUAACACAAC